AUCUGUCACUACAUUUUCAUUCUCUCUCUUCCAUUUUCUCUCGUCUCCCCUCUCUUCUCCAUUAAACCCUAGCCGCCGUCGGCCCUUUCUCCGGCCACCACCACCUUAAUGAAAAUAUUAAGCCCAUUUUCAUAUUCCCCAUCUCACGGGUGUCACAAGGAAGCAGUUGGAUUCUUAUUUCGAGCGAUCUCGCCGUUGACCGUCGCCUCUCCUUCUCUGAUACUCUCAAAACAACCGCAUCAAUGGCAAAGCAGAUCCACGAGAUCAAGGAAUUUCUUUUGACGGCGCGUAGAAAGGAUGCGAGAUCUGUGAAAAUCAAGAGGAAUAAGGAUGUGGUACUAAAGUUAAAGAUUCAUUGCUCGAAGUAUUUGUACACGCUGUGUGUGUUUAAUACUAAUAAGGCUGAUAAGUUGAGGCAAUCUCUUCCUCCCAGUUUGACUGUUCAAGAUCUGUAGAUUGAGUUCAAUUUAUCGGUUCUGUUUUAUAUUUGUUUGAAUUUUUUUUCCAGUCUCUGGAAUCCCACGAAAUAUAUUCCAUUUUAUGGUGGGCUCUGAGCAUCAUGAUUACCAUCAUUAUGUUGGAGGACAAAGCCAAAGUAAUUUUGCAUCAAUUUUCACUUAUUGCGAUUACAUCUAUGGUACUGACAAGCCAAAGCCUCGGGUUGAUUACACUCUGAAGGAAGUUUGUGGAAGUUUGCCGGCACUUCCUAGAAUUUCAUAUAUGAUUGAUGUAGGUUCUAAUCUGAUACUAUGAACUCAAUUGUUACUGAUAUGCUCCAAUGGCCUCAAAGGAUUGUUGUGCCACUUGGUGGUAUUCUUGUGAAAACUAGGUAAUGUGAAUUUUAAUUUGUCUUAGUUAUAUAUCUUCUUGAAUCCAGAUCAAAACAUAUCUAAGUUUUUGAAGUUGUUCCAAAGGCCUCAUAGGAUUGUUGUUCCAUUUUUUGUCACUAACUUGCAGAUCUACGAUUGUUAGAGACAUGGACAUGAGUUUACUUAUUUCAUGUUACUAAAAGUUUGUUAAUUUAUUUUUGUUAUUUUGUAGGUUGUAAAAGUUUCAUAUCUGCUGAACUAUUUACAGGUUCAAUGGCAGAACCCUUUAGGUAGUUUAAGUUUUGUGAUAUUUCGAGAACUUUAUUAUACACACAGAAGCGGCUUAUAUGGAUUGAUUUUUGUUUUUCUUAAUCUUCUGCUUUUCUAAUACACUCAUUUAUUUGUGUUCAAUGCAUUAAUCCCUUAACUUUUCAACAUUGCUUUGUUGGUUCUAGAAGUUGUUCUCGCCAUUUGGAGCACAACAAACAAACAUAAUCGUUACAAAAGGUUAUGGCUUUUCCUUGCACCCGAAGUUCCUCUGUUAAUAUAUAAUAAUUUAUAAAAAAACAAUUUACACUUCUGUUGUUCAUGUCUUUAUUUAAACAUAUUCUGCAGGUGUUUAUUGUGGCUUUUCCUUAUAUCUCAAACACAUUCACUUAUAUCUCAAUAUGAUUGAAUAUAACAAUAUAAUUUUUUAAAACUUAUGUUUUAUACUUUACUCUUUCUUCUCAUUAUAUGGGUUAUUAACAUUUCUGUAGUGUCCAAGGGUUGUUUUAUACUUUACUCUUUCUUCUUACUAUAUGGUUUUUUAACAUUUUUGCAUUGUCCAAAGAAAUAUAUUAAAGCAAUUCGUUGAAUAUAAAGUUUCCAUUGGAUAACUUGGAUGCUAAAGCAAUUCAUUUUUAGAAUCAUACUGUAGGAAUAUGAAGUAUAUUAAAGCAAUUCGUUGAAUAUGAAAUAUGAAUAAUUUUUUAGUUUGGUUUGUAUUAAAUGACAAUUGCUGCAAAACCGAUGUUUAACAUUUUGGUGAAACUCUGCGCAUUGUACAGUUCUUUAUCAACUUGCAUUAACUUGAUGUGCUUUCUUACUGAUGCAGAAGUUCCUACUUGCACCUACUAACUUAAGGUCUUCACAAAAGCUGCUUUUCAAAUAGAUAUUAUCCGAUUAAAUUAGAUGAGUUGGUAGUUGUGUAACAUCACUUUUAACCACUAGGAAGAUCUUGGUCCCCGUCCCUGUAACAUCACUUUUAACCAUAGAAAACAACUACUUAAUUUAUUAACUGGUUUGCAAAAUUUCUACCUUUUAACUGUGCAUUUUAUUUAGAUAUCAAUAUAGGCACCACACAUUGUUUAACUUGCAAAAUUUAUACCUUUUAAAUGUGCACUUUAUAUAGAUAUUAAUAUAGGUACCAGUUUAACUUCUUGAAAUUUUGGGAGGGCAGAGAAAAAAGGCUGCACUGCACCGCAGUUUACAACUAGAUCUCUUGAGAUGUGGAAAGAGUUGUCGGCUUUUGAUGGAUAAACUAUCUUCGUCCUGGCAUCAAGCGUGGUCCAUUUACUAAUGAAGAAGAAACUACUAUUAUGCAACUUCAUGCCAUGCUUGGCAACAGGUAGGCUGCUAUAGCAUCCCAGCUACCAGGAAGAACAAACAACGAAAUUAAGAACUACUGCAGCACACAUCUAAAGAAGCGCGUCCUUCGGUCACUAGGGGAAGACAUCCCUGUCUUAUUCCUGAUAGUAAUGUCCAGUCGAAUGCUCCUUCUAUGCGCCACAUGGUUCAAUGGGAAAGUGCGAGGGUUGAGGCAGAGGCAAGGUUGUCAAUUGAAUCCACAUUGCACUAUUCAGGCUCUCCAUCGAAAACAACAUGUUCAGAUUACUUUCUUAAACUUUGGAAUUCUGAUGUGGGUCAGUCGUUUCGGAAGAUCAAGGGAAAGGAAGAACUGGUGUCCCAAAGUCUAGUCUCACAAGCAUCGGCUUCAUCACUAUCAUCGACAACGUUAGACGAGUCAUGUUCUGAUGUCUCGUCUCAGGUGAAAAACACUCAAAGGCAUAAACUAAGCCUUAAAGUGUCAACAACACCAAAGCUUGAAAUUGACAACAUGAAUCAAGAACAAAACAGGCCUCGCGAACAAACAAAUAGCUAUAAACCAAAGCUUGGCGACAAUAGAGCUGGUUCAGAUUCAGGAAAUUAUGAAUUUCUUGAUACUUCUGAUUCUGCACUAAAGCACCUAUUACAUAUGCCUGAUGAUAUAUAAUUCUUGGGACACACUGACAAUUUCCUGAAUCUCCUUGAUGGUAGAUAUGACUAAGAUUACUCUCCUCCAUAUAUAAUUAUAUAUGAUAGAAUAGUUAGUUAUCUUUGCCUUUUAUGUUAUCAACUUUGACAUAUGAUAGAAUAGUUAGUUAUCUUUGACUUUUAUGUUAUCAACUUUGAUAUAUGAUAGAAUAGUUAGUCAUCUUUGCCUUUUAUGUUAACUUCAUUUUUGUAAAUGCAUCACCAAGGCAAAAUACUCAAAUGUGUACUUUGGUAACAUGGA